rnacentral:rRNA from 1 species
AGGGUGUAAACGCUGCAGACUUGGUGUUGGAGGCCCUUUGGGGGCAUUCAGUGCCGGAGAGAAGUUGUUAAGUCUGCUACUUGGGGAGUACGUCCGCAAGGAUGAAACUUAAAGGAAUUGGCGGGGGAGCACGCAACGGGAGGAGCGUGCGGUUUAAUUGGAUUCAACACCGUAAACUCACCAGGGAAGACUGUUACAUGAAGGCCGAGAUGAAGACUCUGCUAGAUUUUCAGAGAGGAGGUGCAUGGCGUCAGUGACU